rnacentral:rRNA from 1 species
UACGGAGGGGGCGAGCGUUAUUCGGAAUUAUUGGGCGUAAAGGGCGCGUAGGCGGCUUUACAAGUCAAAGGUGAAAUCCCUCGGCUCAACUGAGGAACUGCCUUUGAAACUGUAAGGCUUGAGGCCGGGAGGGGGUAGCGGAAUUCCCAGUGUAGCGGUGAAAUGCGCAGAUAUCGGGAGGAACACCGGUGGCGAAGGCGGUUCUCUGGGCCUUACCUGACGCUGAGGAGCGAAAGCGUGGGGAGCGAACAGG